UCAAGCUUAGAUUUAUUAAAAGAAUAAUAGCCAUUUUAAAAUAAUGCUCUACGUGUUUAUACUCUUGUGUUCUGCCAUUGUUACGGGCAAUGGUUUGUAUCUUUUACCGCCCUAUCCGCCUGGUUCAGGACAAUGGUGUUUUGACAGCAGGGUAUGCAACAUGGACGAAUGUUGUAUGCCAGUUUAUGAAGACGAUGGACCACGUGGGCGAAGAGGAGCGGCACCACCAGGAAAAUGUUUUAUAAGUACACCUCCUCUUCAAAGCAUGUGUACGCUGUACGCUAAAAAAAGGGCUGUAACCCGUAAAUGUCAUGAUUCUGAUGAUUGUGCCGAUAAUGAAUGUUGUACGACAUGGGUGGAACAAGGACCCAUAGUAGGCAGAGAGGUGUUUGAGGGAGUCUGUGAAAUACUCGGCCAUCAAAAUUCUGAAUGUUAUCCGGGAGAUCACGCUAAUGGUACUAAUGGUAAACCUGAUGGUAUUGUACCAAGUUGUCCUUGUGACGUUCCUUUUACAUGUAUACCAAUAGACUCAGUUGAUCACCAUGGCGGUCUAGGUGUUUGUGGGUAACUGUGUAAAUGGAGGAGGCUGACCUCAUUCACAGGAGUUUAAAUCUGUAUAUGUUUUACCAAUAUUAUGGAUAAAUAUGGCAGCUACCGGACUUAACGCUUGUUCGAGUGCCAAAUAAAAGAUUAUUGAUUA